GGAGGGGGCAAGCGUUGUUCGGAAUUACUGGGCGUAAAGGGCGCGUAGGCGGCCAACUAAGUCAGACGUGAAAUCCCCGGGCUUAACCCGGGAACUGCGUCCGAUACUGGUGGGCUUGAGAUUGGGAGAGGGAUGCGGAAUUCCAGGUGUAGCGGUGAAAUGCGUAGAUAUCUGGAGGAACACCGGUGGCGAAGGCGGCAUCCUGGACCAACACUGACGCUGAGGAGCGAAAGCCAGGGGAGCAAACGGGAUUAGAUACCCCGGUAGUCCUGGCCCUAAACGAUGAAUGCUUGGUGUGGCGGGUAUCGAUCCCUGCCGUGCCGAAGCUAACGCAUUAAGCAUUCCGCCUGGGGAGUACGGUCGCAAGGCUG
rnacentral:rRNA from 1 species